rnacentral:rRNA from 1 species
AUCCGUCGUNUGCACACCGCCCGUCACACCAUGGGAGCGGGUUUUACCAGAAGUAGGUAGCUUAACCGUAAGGGGGGCGCUUACCACGGUAGGAUUCGUGACUGGGGUG